GGCCCUGUGGCUCAAAGGGAGGGCGCCGGCACCAUAUGCUGGAGGUGGUGGGUUCAAACCCAGCCCCGGCCA
rnacentral:tRNA from 1 species